UCUACUUGCUAAUAUAAGAAGUCUAACCUGCCCACUGAUAGUUAUAAGUUUAAGGGCCGCGGUAUUAUGACUGUGCAAAGGUAGCAUAAUCAUUAGGUUUUUAAAUGGAAUCUUGUAUGAAUGGUUGGACAAGAGAAAAGCUGUCUUUGUAUUAGAUUUGAAUUUAACUUUUAAGUGAGAAGGCUUAAAUAAUCUAGGGGGACGAUAAGACCCUAUAAAAUUUUACAUUAUGAUUAUAUUUUAUAGAAUUUGAAUAAUAAUAAUUUAUUUAAUUAUUUUGUUUUGUUGGGGCGACAAAAGUAAAAAUUAUACUAACUGCUUUGUAUAAAACCAGUUAUAAAUGAGUAUCAAAAAUAGUGAUCCUAAUUAUUGAUUUAAAGAUUAAGUUACUUUAGGGAUAACAGUGUUAUUUUUUUUGAGAGUUCAUAUCGAAAAAAAAGUUUGCAACCUCGAUGUUGAAUUAAAAUAUCUAUAUAAUGUAGCUGUUAUAUAAGAAGGUCUGUUCGACCUUU
rnacentral:rRNA from 1 species